rnacentral:lncRNA from 1 species
CAGCCUGUUGUCCCAGUUGCCUCUUGUCCCAGCCCUUUAAAAGAGUGAGAUCUUCAGCUUGAGCAACUACUAUGUACAGAAGUGCUGGGCAACUUAGGAGACACUUAUUUUUAUGGGAUCUUCCUCCUUUCUCUCUUCAUCCUUCUUUGCCAGUUUCUCUUCCCUUUGAUUUUUUUUUUCACAGCUAUCUCACCGUCUCAGGCCUGGAAAAAACAUGGAAAUGAUUCCAUUCUUUUUCUUUUAGGGAUAUAGAAACUGAGAUCAUAUUUUUAAUUAAGUGGCUUGAUGAAGAUCACACAUCGUGUAGGUGGAAUUACCAGGACUGUAGGACAAAUUCAAUGUCAAAUUUCCUUAUGUCAUGUUGUCUCUGUCAGUACACCUCCUUAGUUAUACUGGAAAGGUGGUGGGCAGGUUAGCUAGUGAGUCAAAUUGCAAACCUAUAUGCAGUUAUUGUAGCACAGUGCAAAGGGCUGUAGAAGUGCAAUUAGAGGAAAUAAUUCCAGGUAGACUAGAUUUUGCCUCUGCUUCUUACUGCAUGACCUUUGGCCAAUUAUUUAACUUCUCUGUUCUUUGGGGUCCUCAUAUAUAUAAAAUAGAGCAUAAAACCCACCUCAUGAGGCCAAAAUGAGGAUUUAUUGGAUGCAUGCAUCUGAGGUCAUUGUGGUACUUGGUACUGCCACCUAUUACGUUUCUCUAAACAAUAGCUAAAACAUUUUCCUUCGGAUUUCCUUCCUCAUCUUUCUCUUCAAACAACAUAUCUUAGCCCAUAUUCAACUUAGAAAAUUAAAAUAUCUAUUAGUGGCUUUGCAGGAGUAACUUUUCCUCUGUGUAAGUUUUAAGACUUUUCAAAUUAGUAUAAACUGUGCUUUUUAUAAAUGUACUGCUUGUUAUCCAAUUCCAGAUCACAAAUACAGGUGUAAAAUCAUACAAUUUGCAAUGCAUGCUACUUCUACCAAAUAACUCUUCAUCCUUCAAAAUAUUUUCAUGUAUUAUUACUUUCUAUUUUCAAUCUGUUGGGCAGAGAACUGUACCCACUUCAACUCUGAAUCAAUUCUCUGAGCAAAUGUCAAAAUUUAUCCCAUCACAGACUUUAUUUAAAUGUGUUCUUGUAGUCAACUAAUUCUGUUACUGCAUUUGGAGGGAAAAAUCUAUUGAAUUUGCCUUGUGGGAUUUAUUUUUCAUAAGCCACACUUCGUUAUUGCUUUUAAUUCCAAUAUCUUCUGAAGUGCUACAGAUUUUUCUUUCAUAAAGAGCAUUUGUUAAUAUACUAAGGAUUGAUGUUACUGAGGAGUAAUUUCUAGGCUUCCUGUUCUAAUGCUCUUUGAAAUGGAUUAUGGUAUUUGGCCUCACAUAUUACCCCAGUUCACUAUAACCUCAGGAAAAACGAGUGGUAUUUCCAAGUUAACCAACUACCAUGCUCUCUAGAAUGUAUAGUACAGGUAACUUGAUAUUUUAGGACCCUGAUUCUUUUUUUUUAUGCUUUUUAAUAAUUUUUAUUUUUUCCAUCAUAGUUGGUUUACAGUGUUUUGCCAGUUUUAUGCUGUAUAGCAAGGUGACCCAGUCACACAUACAUAUAUACAUUCUUUUUCUCACAUUAUCAUGCUCUAUCAUAAGUGACUAGAUAACAGUUCCCAGUGCUAUAAGAGCAGGAUCUCAUUGCUUAUCCAUUUCAAAGGCAAUAGUUUGCAUCUAUUAACCCCAAAUUCCCAGUCCAACCCACUCUCUCCCCUUCCCCUUUGGCAAGCACAAGUCUGUUCUCUGAGUCCAGGACACCCUGCUUUUUUUUAAAACCAAAUCAUGUAUUAUGCAUUCUGAUUAUGAAAGUAAUAUGUUUAUAAUAUGUAAGAUCAAAUAAGAAAAAUUAAAACACAAAUCACCUCUUACCCAGAGAUAAUCACAAUUAAUAUUUUAGUUAUAUUUUCAAUUACAUGUAUGUUUAUGUAUUUUUAAAAAUGAUAAUGGAUCAUACUAUUCACAUAUUUUGUCCAUUUUUGAAUGACAUAUACUUAUACAUAUACAAGUCAUACUUAUUUCAGGUAAUUUAUAGUUUCUAAUUUUUAUAAAUUUUUAUAAUAAAUGCUAAAAUCAGCCCAUAUAAAAAGAGUGAUAACUUACUUUUAUUGAGUAUCUAUUAUUUGUUAGACAUUUUACAUACAAAUUUCUUUCUGUACACUCUUUAAGUUGCAAAGUAGGAAUUAUUACCUUCUCAUUAUAGAUGAAAAAAGAACUGGAUUACCUUUUUAAAGUUAAUCAAUGCCAAAUAUCUAGAAAGUGAAGUAAUUAGGAUUCAAAACUAGACAGGCUUAUGUGGAUUUCUGCUUUUAUCAUUUAUGUUACAUGUCCCUAGAGUAAAUCACUGAAAGUAAAUUAACUAUUUCAUGGAGAAAACCCAUCCUAAAUCAUUUACUGUAUCAUCCCACCCAAAGAGACUAUAUUCUUAUCUAUAUUCUAAAGACUUAUUUAGGAGUUGUUGUUGUGGCUCAGCAGUAUCCAUGAAGAUGCAGAUUUGAUGAUCCCUCACCUUGCUCAGUGGGUUAAGGAUUCAGUCAUUGCCUUGAACUGUGGUGUAGGUUGCAGACUGGGCUCAGAUCUGGCUGUGGCUGUGGCUGUGGCUGUGGCGAAGACCAGCAGCUGCAGCUCUGAUUUGACUCCUAGCCUAGGAACUUCCAUAUGUUGCAGAUGCAGCCCUGAAAAGCAAAAGACUUUUUUAAAAAUCCCCAUUAUGUAUAUAUACCACAUCUUCCUAAUCCAAUCAUCUGUUGAUGGACAUUUGGGUUGUUUCCAUGUCCUGGCUAUUGUGAAUAGUGCUGCAAUGAACAUGCGGAUGCAUGUGUCUCUUUUAAGUAGAGUUUUGUCCGGAUAGAUGCCCAAGAGUGGGAUUGUGGGGUCAUAUGGAAGUUCUAUGUAUAGAUUUAUAAGGUAUCUCCAAACUGUUCUCCAUAGUGGCUGUACCAGUUUACAUUCUCACCAACAGUGCCGGAGAGAGAGGUAGGGAGUGGGAGGGAUGGGGAGCUUGGGCUUAUCAGGCACAAUUUAGAAUAGAUUUAGAAGAAGAUCCUGCUGAGUAGCAUUAAGAACUAUGUCUAGAUACUCAUGUUGCAACAGAACAAAGGGUGGGGAAAAAAUGUAUACAUGUAAGGAUAACUUGAUCCCCUUGCUGUACAGUGGGAAAAAAUAAAAAAAUAAAAAGAUAAUAAUAAAAAAAAAGGAGUUCCCGUCGUGGCGCAGUGGUUAAUGAAUCCGACUAGGAACCAUGAGGUUUCGGAUUCGGUCCCUGCCCUUGCUCAGUGGGUUAAUGAUCUGGCGUUGCCGUGAGCUGUGGUGUAGGUUGCAGACGCAGCUCAGAUCCUGCAUUGCUGUGGCCCUGGCGUAGGCUGGUGGCUAUAGCUCCGAUUCAACCCCUAGCCGGGGAACCUCCAUAUGC